rnacentral:tRNA from 1 species
GUCCCCAUCGUCUAACGGUUCAGGAUAUUUGGUUCUCAGCCAAAUGAUUGGAGUUCGAAUCUCCAUGGGGAAGCCA